rnacentral:rRNA from 1 species
CCUUCGGGUCUAGUGGCGCACGGGUGCGUAACGCGUGGGUAUCUGCCCUUGGGUUCGGAAUAACAGUUAGAAAUGACUGCUAAUACCGGAUGAUGUCUUCGGACCAAAGAUUUAUCGCCCAGGGAUGAGCCCGCGUAAGAUUAGCUAGUUGGUGGGGUAAAAGCCUACCAAGGCGACGAUCUUUAGCUGGUCUGAGAGGGUGAUCAGCCACACUGGGACUGAGACACGGCCCAGACUCCUACGGGAGGCAGCAGUGGGGAAUAUUGGACAAUGGGCGAAAGCCUGAUCCAGCAAUGCCGCGUGAGUGAUGAAGGCCUUAGGGUUGUAAAGCUCUUUUACCCGGGAUGAUAAUGACAGUACCGGGAGAAUAAGCCCCGGCUAACUCCGUGCCAGCAGCCGCGGUAAUACGGAGGGGGCUAGCGUUGUUCGGAAUUACUGGGCGUAAAGCGCGCGUAGGCGGCUUUGUAAGUUAGAGGUGAAAGCCUGGAGCUCAACUCCAGAACUGCCUUUAAGACUGCAUCGCUAGAAUCGUGGAGAGGUGAGUGGAAUUCCGAGUGUAGAGGUGAAAUUCGUAGAUAUUCGGAAGAACACCUGUGGCGAAGGCGACUCACUGGACACGUAUUGACGCUGAGGUGCGAAAGCGUGGGGGAGCAAACAGGAUUAGAUACCCUGGUAGUCCACG